rnacentral:rRNA from 1 species
UACGUAGGGUGCAAGCGUUGUCCGGAAUUAUUGGGCGUAAAGAGCUUGUAGGCGGUUUGUCGCGUCUGCUGUGAAAUUUCGGGGCUCAACCCCGAACUUGCAGUGGGUACGGGCAGACUAGAGUGUGGUAGGGGAGACUGGAAUUCCUGGUGUAGCGGUGAAAUGCGCAGAUAUCAGGAGGAACACCGAUGGCGAAGGCGGGUCUCUGGGCAAUAACUGACGCUGAGGAGCGAAAGCGUGGGGAGCGAACAGG